rnacentral:rRNA from 1 species
AGCAGCCGCGGUAAUUCCAGCUCCAAUAGCGUAUAUUAAAGUUGUUGCAGUUAAAAAGCUCGUAGUUGAAUUUUUGAUUCUUCCAAUUGGUCCAUCUUUUAGAUGAGUACUGGUUGUGUGGGGUCUAUCCGCCUGGUGAUACGUAAUGUCCUUUAUUGGAUGUUGCGGGUAGUCAGGACCUUUACCUUGAAAAAAUUAGAGUGUUUAAAGCAGGCUUAUGCCGGAAUACAUUAGCAUGGAAUAAUAGAAUAGGACGAAGUUGUUUUAUUUUGUUGGUUUCUAGGACAACCGUAAUGAUUAAUAGGGAUAGUUGGGGGCAUUAGUAUUCAAUUGUCAGAGGUGAAAUUCUUGGAUUUAUUGAAGACUAACUACUGCGAAAGCAUUUGCCAAGGAUGUUUUCAUUAAUCAAGAACGAAAGUUAGGGGAUCGAAGACGAUCAGAUACCGUCGUAGUCUUAACCAUAAACUAUGCCGACUAGGGAUCGGGCGAUGUUGUUUCCAUGACUCGCUCGGCACCUUAU